CCUACGGGAGGCAGCAGUGGGGAAUAUUGGACAAUGGGCGAAAGCCUGAUCCAGCAAUGCCGCGUGUGUGAAGAAGGCCUUCGGGUUGUAAAGCACUUUAAGUUGGGAAGAAAAAGCUCUGGCUAAUAUCUAGAGCCUUGACGGUACCAACAGAAUAAGCACCGGCUAACUCUGUGCCAGCAGCCGCGGUAAUACAGAGGGUGCUAGCGUUAAUCGGAUUUACUGGGCGUAAAGCGUGCGUAGGCGGUUUGAUAAGUCGAUUGUGAAAGCCCCGGGCUUAACCUGGGAAUUGCAGUUGAUACUGUCAGACUAGAAAACGGUAGAGGGAGGCGGAACUCCAGGUGUAGCGGUGAAAUGCGUAGAUAUCUGGAAGAACACCGAUGGCGAAGGCAACCUCCUGGGCCUGUUUUGACGCUGAGGCACGAAAGCGUGGGUAGCAAACAGGAUUAGAUACCCUGGUAGUCCACGCCGUAAACGAUGAGAACUUGACGUUGGUUUGCUUAGCAAAUCGGUGUCGUAGCUAACGCGAUAAGUUCUCCGCCUGGGGAGUACGGCCGCAAGGUUGAAACUCAAAGGAUUGACGG
rnacentral:rRNA from 1 species